rnacentral:rRNA from 1 species
AUUGAACGCUGGCGGCAUGCUUUACACGUGCAAGUCGAACGGUAACAGCACUUCGGUGGCUGACGAGUGGCGAACGGGUGAGUAAUACAUCGGAACGUGCCUAGUAGUGGGGGAUAACUACUCGAAAGAGUAGCUAAUACCGCAUGAGAUCUAAGGAUGAAAGCAGGGGACCUUCGGGCCUUGCGCUACUAGAGCGGCUGAUGGCAGAUUAGGUAGUUGGUGGGAUAAAAGCUUACCAAGCCGACGAUCUGUAGCUGGUCUGAGAGGACGACCAGCCACACUGGGACUGAGACACGGCCCAGACUCCUACGGGAGGCAGCAGUGGGGAAUUUUGGACAAUGGGCGCAAGCCUGAUCCAGCAAUGCCGCGUGCAGGAUGAAGGCCUUCGGGUUGUAAACUGCUUUUGUACGGAACGAAAAGCCCUCUUCUAAUACAGGAGGGUCAUGACGGUACCGUAAGAAUAAGCACCGGCUAACUACGUG